UUGGGCUGUAAAUACCACUGCCUGUCUUCCCUGAAGACUUCAAUGGGCCCUGAACAUGUUGUUAGCGCGAAGGACACACAAGGCUUCCCUUUGACUGCCCUGGCCAGCAUCCCCGCCACACCCAGGCCCACAGGAAGGUCACCCGCCCACCCUCUGCCGUGCCUUCCCUCCGCCGCCAAGCCCCAGGACAACUGCUCUCAGCAAGGUCUCUGACUUCACCCCACAGGACAGGCGCAUGCUCCCAGGGAUGCCGAGGCCCUUCACCCUCUCCUCCAGGCCAGUCUCACUGUGCAAGUGCCCCACGGCAACUGCAGUGAAGCACCCAUGAACCAGCCAGGAAGAGGCCCCCACCAGACCAAACCACACAGCCACCCUGGACCCCAGCUCCCAGAAGCACGGGGAAACAAACAUCCGUUGCCUAAACCCCAGGCUGACAUCUUGUCACAGUAGCCAGAGUGGACUCAGGUCCACAGCGGAGUCGAGGAAGGCUUCCUGCAGAGCCAAUGUGGCCAUCCUUGGGGGAGCCAGGCCGGGCCAACCCCUCUCCCACCACACAGCAGCCUGGCUGCAAAUGCGGGAAGCUUCUUGGGGACUUCAUGGCUCCACUGCAGGCACAGAGGCCAGCCUGGAUGAGAGACCAGGCACCCUCCGCAGUCCAGCCAGGGCCCUGGAGCAGGGCAAAGAGGCAGAAAGAUCACGGGUACUGAGCCCCAGAUUUCCGCUGCCCCUGCUGCCCUGGCAGAGGAAACAGAGAACAAGGCCCCCACCCACCCAGCUCCCACCCUGGGGGCAGCUUGGAAGUGGGGAUCUCGGCCAGGCUCUGAAUGACAGAAACCAUCAGGACAUGGAAAAACAAGACCUAUAAAGAAAUACACAUUUUAUACAUCAGUUUAAUUAAAGUACAUUAAAAUGAGUUUGCUUAAAUAAAAAAAAAAAUUA
rnacentral:lncRNA from 1 species